rnacentral:SRP_RNA from 1 species
GGGCAAGUCUCGUACGACCAGCUCCCGCUUAAUCCCCCAGGGCCGGAAGGCAGCAAGGGUAGGCGGUUGUAGCGGAGCGAUGCGAUCAGCUUGCCCCUC